GAGGGUAUAGCUCAGUGAUAGAGUGCAUGCUUAGCAUGCACGAGGUCCUGGGUUCAGUCCUCAGCACCUCCA
rnacentral:tRNA from 1 species